rnacentral:rRNA from 1 species
AAAUUGAAGAGUUUGAUCAUGGCUCAGAUUGAACGCUGGCGGCAGGCCUAACACAUGCAAGUCGAGCGGUAGCACAGAGAGCUUGCUCUCGGGUGACGAGCGGCGGACGGGUGAGUAAUGUCUGGGAAACUGCCUGAUGGAGGGGGAUAACUACUGGAAACGGUAGCUAAUACCGCAUAACGUCGCAAGACCAAAGUGGGGGACCUUCGGGCCUCAUGCCAUCAGAUGUGCCCAGAUGGGAUUAGCUAGUAGGUGGGGUAACGGCUCACCUAGGCGACGAUCCCUAGCUGGUCUGAGAGGAUGACCAGCCACACUGGAACUGAGACACGGUCCAGACUCCUACGGGAGGCAGCAGUGGGGAAUAUUGCACAAUGGGCGCAAGCCUGAUGCAGCCAUGCCGCGUGUGUGAAGAAGGCCUUCGGGUUGUAAAGCACUUUCAGCGGGGAGGAAGGCGAUAAGGUUAAUAACCUUGUCGAUUGACGUUACCCGCAGAAGAAGCACCGGCUAACUCCGUGCCAGCAGCCGCGGUAAUACGGAGGGUGCA